UUCAGGUACAGCUGUGAUGAAGGAUGAAGUGU
rnacentral:piRNA from 1 species